ACACUGACACUCGGUUGAGGAGCGGGGUGCUGCACAGAGUUCUGGCCUGGUGUCUGGAGCUUCACAACCCGCUGAUGCCUGUGUGGACACUUACGCUGAGGCUGAGGGCUCAGGAUGUAGAGGAUUGCCCUGCUGUCCUGCCAGAGAGGACAAUGUCAAACAGCGAUAUAGCUCCAAUCCCACAGUGCAUCUGACCGACGAGGGAGAAGAUGAGGUGGAUAGUUACAUCUCACUGGGCUCUGAUCAAACGGAAACAGACUACAUAAACCAGGCAGAUGAAACUUUAUCUCCCAGCCAAGCUCUGGCUCGUGGUAAUGGCAGGAAUGGGUCCCUAAUCCCAAAAGGUCUGUUCAGAAACACCGUGGAAAAUCCUGAAUAUCUAAGUCAACCGAGUCUGUCUGGGAACAAGGACCUGCCAUUUGAUCAUCCUGAUUAUUGGGCACCGGAUCUCCAGAGCAGGUUGCGCUCUGGGAAUUCUCCUUGCCUGAUCCCUGCUACCCCGACACUAACACAACCCAACGGAUACAUCCGGGUUGCAACAGCAGAGAAUGCUGAAUAUCUUGGCCUGGCAGAGGCUAGCAGUGUAUAGAGGAAUCUGGCAGCUUUGGUAUAACCAGCUGUCUCACUGCCAGAAGACUGAACUGACAUCAAAAUCUAAGCGUACUCAGCAGAAGAACUCUAUCUCUCAUGUUCAACAGCAUCCGUUGAAAAGGCAGCUUAUUUUACUCAGCACCUUAACUAAAUCUUACUGUAAACAGGCUUUGGUGAGUGAGACCUUUGUUGGUGCCACAGUUUCUGUUCUGGAAUCUUUCACAAAUGUGCACAUUAUUCCCGUUGAAUCAGAGCCUAGGUCAACCGGUGAACUGGUAGUAAACACCAUGCUGACCUGGGCCAUUGAACAAAAGCUUUUGGAAGCAAGCAGGCAGACUGUGAAAUGUUUCCUCAGAGUCCUGUUUGGAUUACAACUCUACAAAAUCAUAACACUAUUCAAGAAUAGCAAAAAAAUCCCAUUCUGAUCCAGGUGAUUCACUGUGAAUCUGUCAGGCCAUCCAGACUGGAUCCCACAUCUAAGAUCUGCUUGAGAAGUCUCAGUGCAGCUACCCUUUCCUGAGUAUUGCCUCCACCCUCUCCCCCCGAUGCAGUGCCCCACACCCCCGUUCCUGGGUGCUGGCCACUCCCCGCCACCUCUAUGGUUUGGAUGUGGGGAGGGCUCUGACCUUGUGGGAUACCAGGUGUCUGUUUCUGGUGGGAAUGGGCAGCAUCACAUUUAACAGAUGAGUAUUUCCCUGGACCCUGGUUGGACGAAUCAAGGGACAGGCAGUGAGGAGCUGGUCCUGACGGGGGAAGAGAGGAUGAUACUGGGAUCCGAGAGAGAUCACCAAGCAGCAGGCAAGAUGUGAGAAUUCACUGAACAACAUUAAAAGGAAUUGACUUUUGUUUGUAAGUGAAGUUUAAAGUUUAUACAACAGAAUGUUGGAAAUGAGUUGCUUUUGGUUUGGAGAAUGUUGUAGACAUUACUCAAUACUGAAAUUCAUGAGUUUUUAAUCAGUUUGAUCAGAGUUUUUGUAUAUUCGAUUAUGGGGAAAGAGUUUUAUAUGUUUGAAAAAGAUAUUUUUUCUAGAAGUAUCCAUUUGAUGUGAAUGUUUCGAUUUUAGCACUUUGUUUACGGGAAAUGGUUUGAUUUUAUUCUGAUUACAGCUGGUGGAAGCGUCCAAGUGGCCCUCAGCCCAUGGCACUCACUCCUUUAGCCAUCUGUAUUGCUCCAUUGCAGCCUCAGAGCUGCUUUGUUUGAAUGGAGGGCCAGCCAGGAGUGAGUUACUGUUUGACAAACUGGUCUUCAAUUAGGCUCCAGUGCAGUUAGAGCUAUUGCAAUCAGAACUAUGCUGUGAUGAACCAGCGGUUUCAAGGAUGCAUUCUUGGUCCUGUGGGUUUACCAAGUGCAGGUGACAGGAGCUUGUUAUUUCUAAGCACGGAUGAGGGUGUAGUAGUCUCAUACUAACAGAGACUCCUCAUGCCUGGGUUCUUAUUAGACUUUGCCCAAUUGCAUUGCUCAUUGGAGUCAAUUUGGGAUCAGUCAAUAAGCAUUUGAUAUGAUUUUGUAAAAUUGCUGUGGUGAAUUACCCCAGCUAUUGUAUAUUUGACAUUUUCUCUAAAUCUGGAUCCUGUAAAACACUAUGUACUGUAAAUAAAUCUCACUCUAUUUUUACAUUC